UUGCGCUUGAGCUGGAUAUACAGUAGUACAAUUUAAAAUGAGCAACAACAGCAAGAAAAUGUCAAAUAAUAAUAAUAAUAAUAAUAAUAAUAAUAAUAAUAAUAAUAAUAAUAUCCUGAGAAUAUCUUUUGUGUUGUACAUCCUAUAAAGGUGGGGAGCGGUUUGGUUUUUCAUUGCGAUCUCCGAUGUGACGAUGUGAAUCUUAUCAAAAGCAUCAUAAUAUUUAGAAUAAAUACGAGGGUGGCGCUCUGGGAAAAAAAUGUGAUUCCAUUUAUUUGGAAUAAAGUAAAUAAAUUGCGCAUUAUUAUUGGGUGAUAUUUUCAUUUCCAGUUCAUCAAACAAUCUCCCGGGCAUCAGUGCAUGAAAAUUAUGGAUUGUGUAAUAAAAGCAUAAGGAUGAUAAUAACAACAACAAUAAUAAUAAUAAUAAUAAUAAUAAUAAUAAUAAUAAUAAUUGCACUACGUAGUAUCUUUGAUUUGCAUUUGGCUCAUUUAGACACCACGUGUAAGUCGCUGUGUGCGUGCGCGCGCCCGCGUGCUCGUGCGCGUGUGCGAGUUCGCGUAAUUAAAACUGUAGGCCUCUCUUCCCCUUUUGAGUGACAGUCGGAGCUCCCGCGUUUCGCGCAUGCUCGGUGUCACGCCGCUGCACUCGGCUCUGGUCCAUAAACCCAGAGAAGGAAAAAGAAAAGAAACUGCAUGCCGAAUACGUCGGUAUGAGAUUUAGUGCUGUAGUAAACGGUUUCGUUCAGAGUCACGUACAGGGAAAAAGUUAAAAUGUAGCUCUAUAUUUGUUUUUUGCUUUUGUAACCUUUCCUAUUUAGUCAAGAAGACAGCUUGUUGACACUGCUGUGUACAGCCUUAUAAUAAACUAGAGUGCAAUGCGAUAUAAAAUAAUAAUAAUUUAAAAAAAAACGAAAACGGGGAGGAAAAAAUCUUCUUUGUCAGUAAGUAGGUGUGGACUGUUUCUGCCUGCACUGUAAUAUCGCCUCGUGUUGCGCAAAGCUGGUUCCGGGUUUGUGGGCUGCAGCUCGACCACAAAAUGAAACAUUUCAGGUUUAAGGUCGUGUACACACGGCAGAGAUUCAUGCAGCAGCAUCCGGCCUCUCCAUCAGAGUUUCAGCGCUAAAAUAAACAGCGCAGCAGGCUGAACGUAAGACUCGGGUGUAAAGACUCGUCUUGGUAUUCAAAAUGCGAGAAGGCAUCAGAUGCUCACCGUGCGGUGGAGGAUACCUCUGCACGGCCCUGUUCCCGUAGUACGGGUGACCGCUCUGUGAGUCGAUGUUGAAG